AGAACUUCGGUCCUUAUGAGAAGCCAGCAGUGCUGUGUACCCAGCAGUGAGAGGUGCAGUGAUUGACUGCUGUGAAUUCAGUGACUGGCAUAUGAUACGGAGGCCAAACUGGGCUCAAGAGUGACUGAAAACAAGCCCAGAGGGAAGGACACUGCAGAAGGCAGAUUCUUUACCGUCUGAGCCACCAGAGAAGCCCCAUGCUGCUGACAACACUAGCACAGAGAAGCUUGUCUUAUUACUGAGCAA